UUGUGAUCACCCACUGCAGUUCUCCAGGAGCUGUCUCUCUCCCACAGGCUAAAGAGGUCUGGGGAUUCUGCUCUUUGCUGAAUGUGAAUUUGGGAACCAGGAAAAUGACCAAAAGAGAAAUCGAGGACCCACUGGGUUCCCUACAAGAUCUAGGACAUCCAGCUUCUCCUAUCCUCAAACAUAAGAACCCCAGGAUCUUGGGUAUUCAGGCUCUGGGCCUUACACCAGUGCUUCCAGGUUCUUGGUUUUUGGCCUUGGACUGAAAGCCACAUCAUCCAGGGCUUCUUACCCUCCCUGCUCACAGGUGAUUCUCACAAUAAAUCCCUUCUCAACUCUCUCUCUCUGUGUAUCCUAUAGGUUCUGUUUCACUAGAGAACUCUGACUAAUACAACUGGCACAGAGUAGAAUCUCAUCUACUAUUUGAUUUCUGAAUGACUGAGAAGUUUGAGUAUCAUCCCAGCAUUUACACAGCCUGGGGCUG